CGCAAGGUGAACCAGUAACUUGGAAGAAUGAAACUGUAUUUGUAUAAAUACAAUAGCGAUUCAUUCGCAUAAAAUUCUAAAUAAAUUAAAUAUAAUGACAUAAUUUAUUUAUAAGUCUUGGCCAACCUACGUGCCAGCAGUCGCGGUAAUACGUAGGAGGCUAGUGUUAGUUAUCUUUAUUGGGCUUUAAAGGGUAAGUAGACGGUAAAUUAAACUCUAAACGAGUACUUNNUUACUAGAGUUAUAUGAGAGAAGGAAGAAUUCCUGGAGUAGAGAUAGAAUUCGCUAAUACCAGGAGGACUGUCNGCGGCGAAGGCGUCCUUCUAUGUAAUAUCUGACNUUGAGAGNCGGAGGCUUGGGUACCAAAUAGGANUAGAUCACCCUACUAGNCCAAUCAGACNAUGNUGAAUGUCAUGCAUUAGAUAUAUAUUUAAUNCAUAANCGNAAGUGUAAGCAUNCCACCUCUAGAGUNCUNUGCCAACANAUAAACUGAAAUCAUUAGACCGUUUCUAACACCAGUAGU
rnacentral:rRNA from 1 species